GACGAACGCUGGCGGCGUGCUUAACACAUGCAAGUCGAACGGAAAGGCCCUGCUUUUGUGGGGUGCUCGAGUGGCGAACGGGUGAGUAACACGUGAGUAACCUGCCCUUGACUUGGGAUAACUUCAGGAAACCGGGGCUAAUACCGGAUAGGAGCUCCUGCUGCAUGGUGGGGGUUGGAAAGUUUCGGCGGUUGGGGAUGGACUCGCGGCUUAUCAGCUUGUUGGUGGGGUAGUGGCUUACCAAGGCUUUGACGGGUAGCCGGCCUGAGAGGGUUACCGGCCACAUUGGGACUGAGAUACGGCCCAGACUCCUACGGGAGGCAGCAGUGGGGAAUAUUGCACAAUGGGCGGAAGCCUGAUGCAGCAACGCCGCGUGCGGGAUGACGGCCUUCGGGUUGUAAACCGCUUUCGCCUGUGACGAAGCGUGAGUGACGGUAAUGGGUAAAGAAGCACCGGCUAACUACGUG
rnacentral:rRNA from 1 species